rnacentral:rRNA from 1 species
UAUCUCUGUAGAGUCUGCAUAUCAAUAAGCGGAGGAAAAGAAACUAACUAAGGAUUCCCUUAGUAACGGCGAGUGAAGCGGGAAGAGCUCAAAUUUGAAAUCUUCAAGGUUUUACCUUGACGAAUUGUAGUUUAAAGAAGUGUUUUCUGUUGGAUGUUUUGGUAAAAGUUCUUUGGAAUAGGACAUCAUAGAGGGUGAGAAUCCCGUAUUUGACCAUUACUUCCAGCUUUGUGAUACACUUUCAAAGAGUCGGAUUGUUUGGGAAUGCAGUCCAAAAUGGGUGGUAAAUUUCAUCUAAAGCUAAAUAUUGGCGAGAGACCGAUAGCGAACAAGUACCGUGAGGGAAAGAUGAAAAGAACUUUGAAAAGAGAGUUAAACAGUACGUGAAAUUGUCAAAAGGGAAGCGUUUGACACCAGUGUUGUUUUCUCGAAAAUCAAUUAAAAAAAGUUGGAUUUUGUAUUGUUAAGACCUUAUCAGCUUACUGUACUCUUUUCUUGCUUUUUUUAAUGCACUUUUCGUUUAACAAGUCAACAUCAAUUUCUUUUGUUGUAAAAGAGUCAUUGGAAGGUGGCUUUCACUUCGGUGAAAGUGUUUAUAGCCUUUGGCUUCUGCAAUCGGAGAGAUUGAGGUCUGCAGCGUAGAUCCUUCGGGGCUAGAUACGUAGAUGCUAAGUUAUAGUUUUUUAUAGACAACUUGUUGACUAUAAUUAAUCAUGUAGCUUACUCGUUUGCGCUAUUUUACCUACGCUUAGGAUGUUGAAGAUGUAGCACAUCAU